rnacentral:rRNA from 2 species
CAUGCAAGUCGAACGGAAACCUUCGGGUUUUAGUGGCGAACGGGUGAGUAACACGUAAGCAACCUGCCCUUAAGACGAGGAUAACAAUUGGAAACAAUUGCUAAGACUGGAUAGGAAAAGUAAAGGCAUCUUURCUUUUUUAAAAGAUCUUCUUUGAAGGUAUGCUUAAGGAGGGGCUUGCGACACAUUAGUUAGUUGGCAGGGUAAAGGCCUACCAAGACUAUGAUGUGUAGCUGGACUGAGAGGUUGAACAGCCACAUUGGGACUGAGACACGGCCCAAACUCCUACGGGAGGCAGCAGUAGGGAAUUUUCGGCAAUGGAGGAAACUCUGACCGAGCAACGCCGCGUGAACGAUGAAGUACCUCGGUAUGUAAAGUUCUUUUAUUAAGGAAGAAAAAAGAGUGGAAAAACUCCCUUGACGGUACUUAAUGAAUAAGCCCCGGCUAAUUAUGUGCCAGCAGCCGCGGUAAUACAUAAGGGGCGAGCGUUAUCCGGAAUUAUUGGGCGUAAAGGGUGCGUAGGCGGUUUAAUAAGUCUAUAGUUUAAUUUCAGUGCUUAACGCUGUUGUGCUAUAGAAACUGUUUUACUAGAGUGAGAUAGAGGCAAGCGGAAUUCCAUGUGUAGCGGUAAAAUGCGUAAAUAUAUGGAGGAACACCAGAGGCGUAGGCGGCUUGCUGGGUCUUUACUGACGCUGAGGCACGAAAGCGUGGGGAGCAAACAGGAUUAGAUACCCUGGUAGUCCACGCCGUAAACGAUGAGUACUAAGUGUCGGGUAAAACUGGUACUGAAGUUAACACAUUAAGUACUCCGCCUGAGUAGUACGUACGCAAGUAUGAAACUUAAAGGAAUUGACGGGACUCCGCACAAGCGGUGGAUCAUGUUGUUUAAUUCGAAGAUACACGAAAAACCUUACCAGGUCUUGACAUUUUCUUGCGAAAUUAUAGAAAUAUAAUGGAGGUUAUCAGGAAAACAGGUGGUGCAUGGUUGUCGUCAGCUCGUGUCGUGAGAUGUUAGGUUAAGUCCUAAAACGAGCGCAACCCUUGUCGUUAAUUGCCAGCAUGUAAUGAUGGGGACUUUAACGAGACUGCCAAUGAAAAAUUGGAGGAAGGUGGGGAUUACGUCAAAUCAUCAUGCCCCUUAUGAUCUGGGCUACAAACGUGAUACAAUGGUUGAUACAAAGAGUAGCUGAAACGCGAGUUCUUAGCCAAUCUCAAAAAAUCAAUCUCAGUUCGGAUUGAAGUCUGCAACUCGACUUCAUGAAGUUGGAAUCGCUAGUAAUCGCGAAUCAGCAUGUCGCGGUGAAUACGUUCUCGGGGUUUGUACACACCGCCCGUCAAACCACGAAAGUUGGCAAUGCCCCAAAGCGGUCACCUAACUUCGCAAGAAGAAGGAUCCGUCUAAGGUAGGGUCGAUGAUUGGGGUUAAG